UGUCUGAGGGCGAAGUUUGGUUUUUGAGCAAGAUUGAAUGGUUUUGUGUGGAGAGCUAUCGAGAAACUGUAAAACAGUACCAACACAUUCCCGUGAUCAAAGUGAAUAUUUGUCAACUAACUAAAGUGAAUGCAAGUGAGGGUAAAUAUGGAUAUAAAGUAAACAAACAAUGAUUAAAACAUCCACCAGAAUGCAAUCAAUGGGAGACAGAACAGAAGUAAUAGGGUAUCUGGGCAUCUCCUCAAGCCUUCCCUCCGGGUACCAUCCCCAAACCAACGGCCUGACGGAGAACGUUAACCAGGAGAUGGAGACUGCACUACGCUGCGUCACUGCAUCCCACCCAGCAUCCUGGGGUUCCAUGCUCCCUUGGGUUGAAUAUACUCACAACACCCUCACCAACGCAUCUACGGUAUGUCGCCCUUCCUGUGUGCUCUUGGUUAUCAACCCCCUCUGUUUCCCUCUCAAGAACAGGAACUCGCAGUCCCCUCGAUCCAGGCUCACAUGCGGCGCUGCUUCAGGGUGUGGAGGAGGACUAGGGCAGCCCUGAUCCACGCAUCCAGCACCAUGCAGAGGCAGGCCAACUGUCGUCGCCACCUGGCCCCCACCUACACUGCGGGGCAACAGUCCCUUGGAUCCCUUGCCCUCUUCCCUGCACCUUUUUAAGUAUUUCUGAAAUUAAAGUUACUCACCACUUC